rnacentral:lncRNA from 1 species
GUAUCUGGGACUCUCAGUGCAGCUACGGGCACGGAGCCCUCUUCCCCUGCUGCCAGCUCAACCCAGGCCACAGAGGUUGCCUUCAGCACCUCUGCAGAUCUGCCAACGAUGCUGCCUGUCUGCCCCACCACCACAUCCAACACCAGUUCAUCUCACCUCUUUCUGUCACUGCGGCUAACUGUGCCCCUGGACCUGGGCAACACCACGGUGCAGGAGCUGCUGUUGUCCAAGCUCCGCAGGGACCUGCAGACAGCGUUCCCGUGUGCUGGCCUGGCGGUGGAGUGGCGAGGGAAGAGGAGGACCUGACCACUGCUCCUCACCCAGCCAGCACCCACAUGGACUGGCAAGCCUGCUGCUGCCAGCUCCUAACUCCACAGUGGUGCAGCCCUUUGGGGUAACCUGUACAGCUCCCCUUGAACCUGGGACACCCUGUCCUUCACUGCGCAUCCUCAGAGGACCCCCAGUGCCUCCCUGUGGGCUGGGGUGCCCCUGCCCCUUCCCUCAGCCUGUCCGUAGAGCCUGAGCUCUCCCACCAUCCUGCACCAGACCCGGCGCUGCCAGGGGACCAAGAAGAGAAGGUCCUGUGGGAAUGGGCUUUUACAGCUGCGGCUGGGGUAGCUCAGCUGUGAAAUCCACCCUGGGGACCAAUGGACAAGAGACAGGAGAUCUGGAGCCCCCAGUGCUGCUGUGCCCAGGGCACUCGGGGGCUCAGUGGUGGUAACCUCCAAGGAUUUGCAAGCCAGGGAGACUGCAGUGCCUGGGGUCUUCAAGAGAUGAUUCAUGGCUGCUUUACAUCCAGAGUGGGCCAAGGUGGAGCCUGGGUUGGCUCUGGGAAGGAGGCAGGAGAGGAAAAGAGCCUGCUCCUGCACUGGAGCCCUGUCCCAUCGCCAGCUGAGCUCCUGAGCACCACAGUGCAGCAGGCAAGUGAAGCUGGAGCCUGGCACAGCAGCUCU